rnacentral:tRNA from 1 species
GGGUGGUUAGCUCAGCUGGGAGAGCAUCGGCCUUACAAGCCGAGGGUCGCAGGUUCGAUCCCUGCACUACCCA